CGUAGGGUGCGAGCGUUGUCCGGAAUUACUGGGCGUAAAGAGUUCGUAGGCGGUUUGUCGCGUCGUUCGUGAAAACUUGGGGCUUAACUCCAAGCGUGCGGGCGAUACGGGCAGACUUGAGUACUACAGGGGAGACUGGAAUUCCUGGUGUAGCGGUGAAAUGCGCAGAUAUCAGGAGGAACACCGGUGGCGAAGGCGGGUCUCUGGGUAGUAACUGACGCUGAGGAACGAAAGCGUGGGUAGCGAACAGGAUUAGAUACCCUGGUAGUCCACGCUGUAAACGGUGGGUACUAGGUGUGGGUUCCUUUUCACGGGAUCCGUGCCGUAGCUAACGCAUUAAGUACCCCGCCUGGGGAGUACGGCCGCAAGGCUA
rnacentral:rRNA from 1 species